GCUGGUUUACUAGACUCCAUGUAGUCCUUAGACAGGUGAGGCCUGACUUUGACGUGGAAGCUCGGGUCACGUAUCUGCUUGAGCGUGUAGGCUUGGCACACGUUCAAUGUCGUUAUGUAUGGGUCACGUAGCUGCAGCCUUUGCCUCAAGUAUGGGUCUCCUUCUAAAAUGUCUUUGUGUCCCGCAACCUAGGAAGUGAAAGAGAGGGUUAGUUACCGUUUUGCGCAAAAAAAGAAACGAACCAAAAUCUUUUACUUUAUACCUGUAGGAGGAGGCGUCUGGUCUCUUGGUAGUUAACACGAAGUUGUUCACCAAAAGGUUGGAGUUCUUCAGAGACGAGGAGACGGUCAUAGAGAGCAGCGAUUCCGGGGUCUCCUUUGGCGAAAACCAUUUCAACAAGAUCGAUUGUGACACGGAAGAAAGGCCACUGGUUGUACAUCUCUUUGAGCAUGUUGAGAUUCUUC
rnacentral:lncRNA from 1 species